rnacentral:tRNA from 4 species
CUAAGGAUGGUUCUUCAGAAGCUUGCUUCUAUCGAACCGUUUUAGAAACAUCAGUGGCCAACGGUCGUCAGGAUCGUUGAGCUGCAUUGGCGGGAUUUCGCCGUCUUCGUUUCUCUUUCUUCGCGGACGAACACGCGCUGGGGCUGCAACCUUGCAGAAUCCCUGGUCCUUGACUGGAUAUGCGUUAGGGGCUUGUAGCUCAGUUGGUUAGAGCGCGCGCUUGAUAAGCGUGAGGUCGGAAGUUCAAGUCUUCCCAGGCCCACCACACUCAUCGAGUGAGCAUUCGUCUUCUGGUUACGGGGCCAUAGCUCAGCUGGGAGAGCGCGUGCUUUGCAAGCAUGAGGUCGUCGGUUCGAUCCCGUCUGGCUCCACCAGAUGGUUUGAUCACCGACUACUCAUACCGUCGUCCGCGAAACAUCACUUCGCACUUACUAGUCCGGAUGGACAGUAAGCUGCGUGAUUUCUGACAUCGUAAAGAGGAGAUCGAUCCGAGUUGGAUCGGGCAACAAGUAAUUGUUGCGCGAUACUCCAUUAUCUCCGGAUCAUUUCGGCGCUCGUGCGUCUUUUAGCGUAGCUCACAAGGCUGCAUUGAAAGACAAGCGAGUUGUAAAUGAUCCUUUUAGCGAAGCUUGACCGCCUCGCUAUCGGAACGAUCUUACGAAGCAAGCUGGUCUUUCUAAUCAUUGUCCGGCUGCAGAUAGCGUUCAUCGAGGGCGCGUGCCGCAAGGCAGUUCUGCAGACAACAUUCUGCCGAGUGUGUGGACAUUGAUAAUGAGAGC